UACGUAGGUGUCAAGCGUUAUCCGGAAUUACUGAGCGUAAAGGGCACGCAGGCGACGUAGGAAGUCCGACGUGAAAGCUCCCGGCUUAACUGGGAGAGGUCGUUGGAAACUCUUGCGCUUGCGACAGUGAGAGGGAGGCGGAAUUCCCGGUGUAGUGGUGGAAUGCGUAGAUAUCGGGAAGAACACCAGUGGCGAAAGCGGCCUCCUGGCACUGGUCUGACGCUGAGGUGCGAAAGCGUGGGGAGCGAACGGG
rnacentral:misc_RNA from 1 species